UGUAAGCAGUGUUGUUUCGAGGGUAAAUUUUUGCAGUCCAAAUUAUAAAAAUAAACAAGAUUUUAAAAGUGAAUCAUUCGCGACGGGGCAAGUUGAAUCAUGAUUCAACUUGCCCCAUUAGUAAAUUUAUUACAUUAUUUUUUAUCAAAAUAUUCUUAUGCAUUCAACUCGUUUUAUUAAUUUCAGAAAUGGUUCGGAACUACAAGAGGAAGACUGAACGUGGUUCAGCAACACCCCAACUAAUGCAGGAAGCCGCUGAUUUUGUUCGAAAUAAGAAUAAAUCAGUGAGAGAGUCCGCACAACUGUUUGGUGUCCACUACUCAACCUUACAACGAUUUAUUCACAAAACAUCCAGUAACACUGCUAAAAGCAAUCCACAUGUAGGCUAUGCCAAACCAAGACAAGUAUUUACAUGUGAACAAGAAGAAGAAUUAGUAUCCUAUCUGAAAACAGCAGCAGCAAUUUAUUUUGGUCUUUCUCCGAGAGAAGUCAAGGAACUGGCUUAUAAAUGCGCCAAUGAAGCAAAGAUAAAAAUGCCUGAUAAUUGGUGCAAUGAUAAAUAUGCUGGAAAAGACUGGUUUUCAGGUUUCAUGAGGCGACAUGGACAAGUACUAUCAAUUAGACAACCUGAAGCGACAAGUUUGGCCAGAGCUACAAGUUUCAACAAACAUAAUGUAGAGUUAUUUUUCUACAAGCUGUCUUCUCUCAUGGAUAAGUAUAAAUUUGAACCUCAAGACAUAUGGAAUGUUGAUGAAAGCGGAGUAACAACUGUUCAGAAACCUCGUGCAGUAGUAGCAGUUAAGGGCACAAAGCAAGUUUGCUCUCUUACCUCAUCUGAGAGAGGGCAACUUGUGACAUUUUGUGUUGCUGUCAGUGCCAUUGGAGGGUUUGUUCCUCCCAUGCUGAUAUUUCCACGGAAAAACUACCAUGAUCAUUUUAUAAGGGAUGGCCCAGAAGGAUCAAUUGGGGCCUGUCACCCUUCUGGAUGGAUGACACAGGAUAACUUCUUGCUGUUUAUGAAGCAUUUCAUUAAGCAUACCAAGGCAACUGUCGAGAAACCUAUCUUGCUGUUGCUAGAUAAUCACCAAUCUCAUGUUAACUAUGAUGUCAUCACAUUAUGCAAGGAAAAUGGAGUGAUUUUGCUAUCAUUUCCUCCACACUGUUCCCACAAGUUACAGCCCUUAGAUAGAUCAGUUUAUGGGCCUUUCAAGCGUUACUUGAGUGCAGCUCAGAAUGACUGGUUGCGGAGUAAUCCUGGAAAAAGUAUGACCAUAUACGACAUUCCUUCUCUUGUGAAACAAGCUUUUCUGAGAGCUUCAACGCCCAUUAACAUCACGAGUGGCUUUAAAGUCAGUGGCAUCAGUCCCUUGAAUACAGAUAUUUUUGAUGACUGGGAAUUUGCUCCUUCUUCAGUAACAGAUCGCCCAGUAAGUCAGCAAUGUGAACAUGAUGCGGCCAAGGCAAUUGAAGAUGUCUCAGAGGUUUCAAGAUCGGUAGAUGAACAUAGGCUUCUUUCCACUUCUACAUCAAUGGAACCCCAUCCUUCCUCCUCUACAGUCACUAAACCCCUUCCUUCCACUUCAACUGCAGUUGAACCCAUUCCUUCCACUUCUACUACAGUGAAACCCCUUCCUUCAACUUCUGCAGCUUCUCUCAUUUGUACAGCAGUAGAAACACAACCUUCUUUCAUUGCUGAUGAAGUUGAAACCGCAAAUGUUGGUGAGUCUUCACUUCGCCCUGAAAAGAUUAUGCCUCAUCCAAAAGCAACACCUCGGAAAAAUAAAUACAAUACAGGCAGAAAAACACGUAAAAGUGCCAUAUUAACAGACACACCUGAAAAAAAUGCUCUGUAUGCUGAAGCCAUUAUGAAAAAAAAUAAAAAGAACAAUGUCAAAGAAAAGAAAGCCACCAAAAAGAGGAAGCAGGAGUUUCCACACAAAGUUCAAUCCAAAAAACCUGCUGUAAAGUACGACUCAUCCAGCUCAGACGACGAAAACUGGUAUUGUCUGAUAUGUGUAGAACCCUAUUCCAAUAGCAGGCCCCGGGAGAAAUGGAUUCAAUGUAGUACAUGCAGAGGGUGGUCUCAUGAGGAAUGCUCGGGAACAGAUAGAGGUUUAUUUUAUAUUUGCCAUAACUGUGAAUCUGACGAUGAAUAAAUUUAAGGUUCAUCGGUUCAGUUUAUUGUGGAUUUGUCUUUACUUAAGGUUCAUCGGUUCAGUUUAUUGUGAAUUUGUAUUUACUUAAGGUUCAUCGGUUCAGUUUAUUGUGAAUUUGUAUUUACUUAAGGUUCAUCGGUUCAGUUUAUUGUGAAUUUGUAUUUACUUAAGGUUCAUCGGUUCAGUUUAUUGUGAAUUUGUAUUUACUUAAGGUUCAUCGGUUCAGUUUAUUGUGGAUUUGUAUUUACUUAUCAUUGAAAUAAAUUCUCAAAAAUUAUAAUUUGCUUAUGAUUCAACUUGCCCCUCAUACUGAUGCAACUUGCCCCGCAGAUGGGGUAAGUUGCAUCAAAUUUAUUUUGAUUUAUAUAUCAAAAUUAAAUAUAUAAGAAAUUAUUUUCAUUAAUAUCUACGCGUGUGAACUCGAUGAUGAAGUAUUGUAUAUUUAUAUACGACAACUG